AAUCUGUAUUUAAAUGUAAAGCAUACAAAUUAAUGCCUACGAUUUGUAACACAUCUUACGAAUAAAGUAGUUAAUAAUGAAAAAGGAAUUGUUUUGUGUGUGACAUGCAAGCAAGAUUGAAAAACCAAACACUACAGUAAAUAUGGCAUAAGAAGUUAAAUGACAUGUGUAACAUGGGAUUAAGACAAAGAUUUCCACAACCAUCUAAAGAUAUUUGUGCCUUAAUUACAAUAUUGAAUAUUUGAAUUGGAACUAUUAAGUGUAGUACACCGUAUUAAGUACUUCGACGAAUUUUCAAUACUAUUACAAUACUAAGUACAAUACUAAAUUAUUAAAAAUAUAAUGUGCUAUAGACUAUUGUUGUUGUUAUUACUAUAACAUGCAAUUUAGAUAUCCAUAACAAACUUAAAUUUUUGCUUUAACGUACAUGUGAGCAUCUUUUCGGCGGAAAUCUUCUCGUUCUCCUGCACAUUUUGAGCAAUUUCGAUCAUGCCCUCUGAAAAUGCCUUGACAAUGCACUCAACAUUAUAGGCGAGUAUUUGUAGCAGCAGCAUCGGAUUGUUUGCCAUCAGACUGCAAUUAAAGGUAGAGUUAGUAAAAUGAAAAUAAUGUGUCUAAUGUUGGCGACUACUUACAUGGCACUGAAUAGCACUAAUAUCAUAUUAUCAGAGAUCGCAGUAUCAUCAAUAAAAUCAAGAUAUUCGGCAUUUUUAUCGUACAGGAAACCGCUUGUAAUCCAAUAGAUUUGUUUAUUUGAUUCGAGUAGUUUCUCAAAUUUGUUGUAGGCAGCAUCGUUUCUAAUGAAAUAUAAUAUUUAUUUAUGCAAUUCAAAAAAUAAAUAAGUGAACUUACUUUAACAUGGGACUGUAUGCCUUGAUGAGCACAUCGAGCAGCAUGACGACCAUGUGAGCAGCCUUGAAUUGAUCCAUCAUAAUGGCCAUGAUGGUUUCGCGAUAUUCGAGACAUUCUUUGCAGGAACAAAACGUAAAGAACUCCUCCUUACGGUGCUUCACAAAUAUCAAGGCAAGAUUCUGGAAAUACAGCUGCAUUAGGAUUAGGUUUCAGCAAGACAAAAUUUCCAAACGCUGGGAACACACACCGUAAUUGCACGCAACUGUCCGACGCCACCGCGCAGCGGAAUCUUUGGAUCCUCCGAAAAUAAGCGCAUAUUCUCAAUUGCCAUCUGCAAAAGAGUUUUAAUAAAUAAAAUUUGUUCAAA